rnacentral:rRNA from 1 species
CCUACGGGAGGCAGCAGGCGCGCAAAUUACCCAAUCCUAAUUCAGGGAGGUAGUGACAAUAAAUAACGAUACAGGGCCCAUUCGGGUCUUGUAAUUGGAAUGAGUACAAUGUAAAUACCUUAACGAGGAACAAUUGGAGGGCAAGUCUGGUGCCAGCAGCCGCGGUAAUA